GCUUAACACAUGCAAGUCGAGGGGCAUCAGGAAGAAAGCUUGCUUUCUUUGCUGGCGACCGGCGCACGGGUGAGUAACACGUAUCCAACCUGCCCUUUACUCGGGGAUAGCCUUUCGAAAGAAAGAUUAAUACCCGAUGGGAUAAUCAUUCCGCAUGGUUUGAUUAUUAAAGGAUUCCGGUAAAGGAUGGGGAUGCGUUCCAUUAGGUUGUUGGUGAGGUAACGGCCCACCAAGCCUUCGAUGGAUAGGGGUUCUGAGAGGAAGGUCCCCCACAUUGGAACUGAGACACGGUCCAAACUCCUACGGGAGGCAGCAGUGAGGAAUAUUGGUCAAUGGGCGCGAGCCUGAACCAGCCAAGUAGCGUGAAGGAUGACUGCCCUAUGGGUUGUAAACUUCUUUUAUAUUAGAAUAAAGUGCAGUAUGUAUACUGUUUUGUAUGUAUAAUAUGAAUAAGGAUCGGCUAACUCCGUGCCAGCAGCCGCGGUAAUACGGAGGAUCCGAGCGUUAUCCGGAUUUAUUGGGUUUAAAGGGAGCGUAGGUGGACUGGUAAGUCAGUUGUGAAAGUUUGCGGCUCAACCGUAAAAUUGCAGUUGAUACUGUCAGUCUUGAGUACAGUAGAGGUGGGCGGAAUUCGUGGUGUAGCGGUGAAAUGCUUAGAUAUCACGAAGACUCCGAUUGCGAAGGCAGCUCACUGGACUGCAACUGACA
rnacentral:rRNA from 1 species